rnacentral:misc_RNA from 1 species
GUAAAAUCAUUAUAGCCAUCCCUUGAAUUUUCCUUCUUUGGAGAAGAAUCCCACGCAUCAUUGAAGCAAUCAUCACACUCCUCAUUAUGACUCCCCGAGUAAAAAUCCUCAACAAUGUCUGCAUCUUGGCAUUUCCCUUGACUUCCAAGCAUCUUGACUGCAGAGGAGAUAUCCAGUGGUUUCCAAGAACAAUUAAGAAUCAU